UACGGAGGGGGCGAGCGUUAUUCGGAAUUAUUGGGCGUAAAGGGCGCGUAGGCGGCUUUGUAAGUCAAAGGUGAAAUCCCUCGGCUCAACUGAGGAACUGCCUUUGAAACUGCAAGGCUUGAGGCCGGGAGGGGGUAGCGGAAUUCCCAAUGUAGCGGUGAAAUGCGUAGAUAUGUGGAGGAAUACCGAUGGCGAAGGCAGCCCCCUGGGAUAACACUGACGCUCAUGCACGAAAGCGUGGGGAGCAAACAGG
rnacentral:rRNA from 1 species